CUGAAUAUGGGGGGACCAUCCUCCAAGGCUAAAUACUACUGACUGACCGAUAGUGAACCAGUACCGUGAGGGAAAGGCGAAAAGAACCCCGGAGAGGGGAGUGAAAUAGAACCUGAAACCGUAUGCGUACAAGCAGUGGGAGCCUACUUUGUUAGGUGACUGCGUACCUUUUGUAUAAUGGGUCAGCGACUUAUAUUCAGUGGCGAGCUUAACCGAAUAGGGGAGGCGUAGCGAAAGCGAGUCUUAAUAGGGCGUUUAGUCGCUGGGUAUAGACCCGAAACCGGGCGAUCUAUCCAUGGGCAGGUUGAAGGUUAGGUAACACUGACUGGAGGACCGAACCGACUACCGUUGAAAAGUUAGCGGAUGACCUGUGGAUCGGAGUGAAAGGCUAAUCAAGCUCGGAGAUAGCUGGUUCUCCUCGAAAGCUAUUUAGGUAGCGCCUCAUGUAUCACUGUAGGGGGUAGAGCACUGUUUCGGCUAGGGGGUCAUCCCGACUUACCAAACCGAUGCAAACUCCGAAUACCUACAAGUGCCGAGCAUGGGAGACACACGGCGGGUGCUAACGUCCGUCGUGAAAAGGGAAACAACCCAGACCGUCAGCUAAGGUCCCAAAGUCAUGGUUAAGUGGGAAACGAUGUGGGAAGGCUUAGACAGCUAGGAGGUUGGCUUAGAAGCAGCCACCCUUUAAAGAAAGCGUAAUAGCUCACUAGUCGAGUCGGCCUGCGCGGAAGAUGUAACG
rnacentral:rRNA from 1 species